rnacentral:rRNA from 1 species
UACGGAGGGUGCGAGCGUUGUCCGGAAUCAUUGGGCGUAAAGGGCGCGUAGGUGGCGGCUUAAGCGUGCGGUGAAAAGCUCGGGGCUCAACCCCCCGAGUCGGCCGUGCGAACUGAGUCGCUUGAGCACUGUAGAGGCAGGCGGAAUUCCGGGUGGAGUGGUGAAAUGCGUAGAGAUCCGGAGGAACACCAAAAGGCGAAGGCAGUGUCCUGGGGGGAGUACCGUGACGCUCAGGUGCGAAAAGCCAGGGGGGGAGCGAACGGG